CGUAGGGACCGAGCGUUGUCCGGAUUCAUUGGGCGUAAAGAGCUCGUAGGCGGCUGCUCAAGUCGAAUGUGAAAACUCGAGGCUUAACCUCGAGCCUGCAUUCGAUACUGGGCGGCUAGAGUCUGGUAGGGGGAUCUGGAAUUCCUGGUGUAGCGGUGGAAUGCGCAGAUAUCAGGAGGAACACCGGUGGCGAAGGCGGGAUCCUGGGCCAGUACUGACGCUGAGGAGCGAGAGCGUGGGGAGCAAACAGGAUUAGAUACCCUGGUAGUCCACGCCGUAAACGAUGGGCGCUAGGUGUGGGAGGUCAUCGACUCCUUCCGUGCCGCAGCUAACGCAUUAAGCGCCCCGCCUGGGGAGUACGGCCGCAAGGCUA
rnacentral:rRNA from 1 species